rnacentral:tRNA from 1 species
GUUUUUAUAGUUUAAAAAAAACAUUAAUUUUGUAAAUUAAAAUUAGGUAUAUUCUUAAAAACU